rnacentral:rRNA from 1 species
AUGAAAAUAGCAAUAUAUGAUAAUUUAUCAGUGGUCAUCUUCUUCGCACCACCUCUUGAGCAUAUUACUUGGAUUAUUUUGAUUACUAUUCUAACCUCUCGCCUCUGUCACUUGGUUCCAGCCUUCCAGGGCACGACCGACUGCGGUUUCGAGAUCUUGAUGCUGAACAAAAAAAAGGAUAGGAUCAACCAAGAACUCCACCACUGGAUAGUACCAUCAACAUGCCCUCAAUUUGACAGUAGAGUGAUGGCCGAACAUCGAUUAGCAGUUUACCUUGGUUUCUCUGAACAUUUCAUACAAUUGUAUACAGUUUCCUUGAGAAUGGCCAUUCAGUUUAAAGUAGUGCUAAGUGAUCAACCCUUCUUUGGGACUUGA